UUAUAUGGCAUUCAAGUUGAGUUCCAAGUUCAACAGUCCAAGUGUUACCCUGCCUCCUCCCACACGAAUUACUUCUGCAGGUGAAGAAGACAAGCAAACUAGCUCCGCCCCGUUCCCCGAAGCCUUGUCUCCCGGGAGUCUUUUUAAAAAUCCCCACACAGUGUCCGCGAAGGCCUCCUGCCCAGCGGGACUCGGCUGGUUCUGGCUAGGGAGAGGUGAGCGGCCCUUUCUGGGCGUGGGGAGCGUUAGGGGGCGGCGGGGCUGGGAGGGAGCAGGUGGGGCGGGCCCGGGAGGGUCCCCCGCGGUCCGGGGGCGGGGCCGGCGUGUCGCGGCCUCCGCGGCUCCCCCGCGUGCCCGCGUCUCCCCUGCUUGCGGCUUCUGGUCGGCUCGCAGCUGGCCCCGACUCGCUCCGAAGUGGGAGGAACGGCUGUCGAGCGGGAAGUGCACCCCGGAUAUUGUUCUCCCAUACAUAUGAUCCAGACUAGCUCCAGGAGCCAGUCAAGAGAUUUUGCCACAGGAUCUAGGGCAAAAGGAUUUACCUCCUAUCACCCACCUUGCAGAUCUCCUAGGGACCUUUCGCCUUCUGCUGCUGCUGCUGCAAAUGAUUGGACAUCCAUUUGCAUUUCCUCUUCCAUCCUGUGGGGAAACCUUUUGUUUACUGUGCUCCAGGCUGGGCCUGGCCUGAAAGUGGGUCCUUGAAUUACCUUUGUACUAUUCCAACUUGCCAAGGUGGUUUUGAGACCUGAGGGCCGUAUUCAAGCAUGGGCGUUAGGCCAAGUAUAUAUGUAAUCCAUAUGGUACCAACGGUGGGCCCCAAAGAUAACAGCAUCUGUAGCUGGACCAGAAGACAAGCUACAAUGAAAACUAAGAUUUUAUCCUCUGUGAUGAUCUUCUCCACCACCAGCACCACCAAUGCAUUCCUGAAAGGACCAAAGUAAUGCCAAGAACCCCCAGAUGAAGAGGACCUUCCUGGAUCUGUAACUGGGAUUAUUUAAUCAAUUUUGUACUUCAAGAGAAAGUUUCCACUAAUUCUGAGGAUAAAGCCAAACAGGCCUGUGACAGUCCCUUGAGUACUGACAGUGUAAACAAGCUUCUGGCUUCCCCAGGUCAAGCAGAGAAACACUUUUCAUUAGAAUGUUGGGUUUCUUCUUUGUUAUUCAAACAUACACCCACACAUAUCCUCUUCACCCUGGCUAAUGAAAAACCUCAACAGAUGGAGAGCCUAGGCUCCCCAGACUUAUGGCUGAGGAGAUGCACUUCCCUCAGUGUGGGUUGGCUGGUACAGAAUGGGGGAGGGAGAAGAAAUGAGUAGCUAGUAUAGGUAAUCACUAUCUUUUAAUACUCCUUACAGAUAGAAAUUCGAAAAAUCCUGUUCAGCAAGGUUAGCAGCCUGUGGGGCCUCGGAAGCCAAUUUGGCUGAUGUGUCUCUAAUAGGGACUAGGCUUGGGGCGGCACCAGGGGGAAAGAACUCACUCCAUAUUCUCUCUCUCUCUCUCUCUCUCUCUCUCUCAUUUGAAAGCCUGUAAAAAGAAAUGGUACAAAUGGAUGGUUAACUUAAUGAUUCAUCAGAGGCGGAUUUUUCUCUGUCAGGUCCCUGGACGAGGCUGAGGCCUGAAAGCCAGGAGGCAGAACAUUUACUUAGCGCCCUUUCUUACCGCCUUUGGGGGGAGGGGACAGGACUACUCUGCAGACCGUUCCUCUGCGACUUCCCCAUACUCCCGGCCAGCUCAGUUGGGUCCCUCUACCCCCUCGGGCUGGAUCCUGAGUUUCUCCCGGUAGCCAGGGCAAGCUCGC